UGGGAUAUAGCCAAGUUGGUUAAGGCAUCGGAUUUUGAUUCCGAGAUUCGCAGGUUCGAGUCCUGCUAUCCCAGCCA
rnacentral:tRNA from 1 species